UACGCAGGGGGCUAGCGUUGCUCGGAAUCACUGGGCGUAAAGGGCGCGUAGGCGGCCUGACAAGUCACUUGUGAAAUCUCCGGGCUUAACUCGGAACGGUCAAGUGAUACUGUCGCGCUAGAGUGCGGAAGGGGCAAUCAGAAUUCUUGGUGUAGCGGUGAAAUGCGUAGAUAUCAAGAGGAAUACCUGAGGUGAAGACGGGUUGCUAGGCCGACACUGACGCUGAAGCGCGAAAGCCAGGGGAGCAAACGGG
rnacentral:rRNA from 1 species